CUUUCAGUCAUUGGGGAGUAGCCUGUUCCAAAACAUUUUUGGAAAAUUCGUAUCAACAUACUCGUUUUCAACAAAACGUGGUACGAGUGCCUGAAGAGUCUAACAAAAAUAAGCUCUGAAUCGGUUGGCAAGACCAUAGACACAUGACACCACCAUUGGUUGGGUGUGGGUUAUGUGUAUAUGGAAUCACCCAGCCGAGGC
rnacentral:sRNA from 2 species